UGAAGCCGGAAUUGCUAGUAAUGGCAGGUCAGCAUACUGCCGUGAAUACGUUCCCGGGCCUUGUACACACCGCCCGUCACACCAUGAGAGUUGGGGAUACCCGAAGCCUGUGAGCUAACUAUUUAUAGGAGCAGCAGUCGAAGGUAGAAUCAAUGAUUGGGGUGAAGUCGUAACAAGGUAGC
rnacentral:rRNA from 1 species